UGCUGUACAUCAGAAAACAAUCACAAUACUCCUGAGAAUUAACAAGUAAUGGAAGAGGUGAAGCAUUGACCAGGACUCAUUUUGAAAACUGGAGAAAAUCACUUUUAUCGACGACACUUUCCAACAUCUUGAAGUUGCAGCCAAGUUACCCUGCCACUGAGAUCAUCACACUCACAAAGAAGCGUUUUGAUUGCAACCAGAAAACAUCUCUAAGAAAAAGGCAAAGAAUAGCACUGUCCAGGCUAUCUACAUGGAAGGACAUUCUGAUGCCAAGGGGGAACCUUUUCCACCGGGAGGGCAGCAGCGGCACCAAAGAGAUAGCAAAGGAAGACUCUGGAGGACUCUGGAGGACCUGUUUGUUGGCAGAGACAGAAGAAGUCAGCAGCAGAUGAACUUACAGCAAGGGAGGAGCAGGCUCUUAGGCAGGAUAAAGGAUUCCUGGAAAUGGAGAGACAGCACAAGCAACGGGAGCGUGCACAGAGGGAACAGGAUCAUACACUCAUGCAAUCCCUGGUAGAACAUUUUCAGGGUCUGCCUGCUGCUGUGGCCAUUGCCCCUCUGUGGGAACAGGCAACACUUCCUCCUUCUCCAGGUGCCUUCUCAGACUGCUGCUGAAGUAGUGAAUCCCACAUUCCCCCUUACUGGGGAGGAGCAUGCUAGGCGCCGGACACCACUUUCUCCAAAGUCCCUCUCAGGGAACCCCCCAGAGCAUUCAGGAGCCUGAUGAGCCUGAUCUAGUCCCUAUAACAUGGUCUGUAUUCAGCCCCUAAACCCCACACAGAACAAGUUCACGUUUUUUCCCUGCACACUAUUCCACAACCGUUCCCCCUCCAUCAGGGUGAGAGGGAGGGGAAGGACACAGAAACU